rnacentral:rRNA from 1 species
GACAGAGGGUGCAAACGUUGCUCGGAAUCACUGGGCGUAAAGGGCGUGUAGGCGGGAAGGAAAGUCAGAUGUGAAAUCCCUGGGCUCAACCCAGGAACUGCAUUUGAAACUCCCUUUCUUGAGUACCGGAGAGGAAGGUGGAAUACCUGGUGUAGAGGUGAAAUUCGUAGAUAUCAGGUGGAACACCAGUGGCGAAGGCGGCCUUCUGGACGGUAACUGACGCUGAGGUGCGAAAGCGUGGGGAGCAAACAGG